UACAGAGGGUGCGAGCGUUAAUCGGAAUUACUGGGCGUAAAGCGCGCGUAGGCGGCUUUGCAAGUCGGGUGUGAAAUCCCCAGGCUUAACCUGGGAACUGCAUUCGAGACUGCAUUGCUAGAGUAUGGGAGAGGGAAGUGGAAUUUCCGGUGUAGCGGUGAAAUGCGUAGAUAUCAGGAGGAACACCGGUGGCGAAGGCGGGUCUCUGGGCCGAUGACUGACGCUGAGGAGCGAAAGCAUGGGUAGCGAACAGG
rnacentral:rRNA from 1 species